rnacentral:rRNA from 1 species
AAGCAAGACCGUGAGGUGGAGCAAAACUCAAAAACUUAGUCUCAGUUCGGAUUGUAGGCUGAAACUCGCCUACAUGAAGCUGGAGUUGCUAGUAAUCGCGAAUCAGCAUGUCGCGGUGAAUACGUUCCCGGGCCUUGUACACACCGCCCGUCACACCAUGAGAGUUGGCAAUACCCAACGUACGUGAUCUAACCUGCAAGGGAGGAAGCGUCCUAAGGUAGGGUCAGCGAUUGGGGUGAAGUCGUAACAAGGUAGC